AUGAGGACCUCUUACGUCUGUCUCCUCCUCCUGUGCUGCUGUUCAUGGCUGUGCUGCCUCUCUCAAGCCCAGAUGUCAGUUAAUCCGCCCCUGAACCCGGUUUCUCAUCGCCCCCGAAUCCGGGCGGUGAACCUCGGCGGCUGGCUCGUCACUGAGGGCUGGAUCCUGCCCUCCCUCUUUGACGGCAUCCCCAACAAAGAUCUCCUGGAUGGCACGCAGCUGCAGUUCAAGUCUGUGACGCAGAAUGCCUAUGUGGCUGCCGAGCAGGGUGGCGGCGCGGCCCUCGUCGCGAACCGGGCUACCGCCUCGGGCUGGGAGACCUUCAAGCUCUGGCGGAUCGACCAGACGACCUUCAACUUCAAGGUGUUCGGCAACCAGUUUGUGGGCGUCGGGAGCACUGGCGUUGUGGUGGCGACGGUCACCACGCCGGGGCCAUCCGAGACGUUCAAGUUAGUGCGCAAUGACAACCAGAAUAGGAUGAGGAUCAGAGCACCAAAUGGGCUCUUCCUGCAGGCAAACAAAGAUGGUUCAUUGACGGCCGACUUUGGCGAGAGCACGAGCUGGGGCGACGAUGACCCGUCGGUGUUUGCGGUGACCAUGGUCGGGGGGCUGCAAGGAGAGUACCAAGUAUGCAAUGGCUACGGCACAGAGAAGGCUGCAGAGGUCAUGAGGAACCAUUGGAACACAUACAUCGUUGAAGAUGACUUCCGCUUUAUAGCGGCAAAUGGGCUCAAUGCUGUAAGGAUCCCGGUCGGAUGGUGGAUUGCCAGCGGUGCCAAUCCUCCGGCUCCGUACGUCGGAGGAUCGCUCCAAGCCUUGGACAAUGCUUUCAAAUGGGCAGAGGCCCACAAGCUAGGCGUGAUCAUAGACUUGCACGCAGCUCCUGGGGGGCAGAGCCCUAAUGAGCACAGCUCUACAAGGGACGGCACGCAGAGCUGGGGAACCACUGACUCCAACAUUGCGCAAACAGUGCAAGUGAUUGAUUUCCUCGCAGCUAGGUAUGCCAAGAGACCAAGCCUCCUCGCAGUGGAGCUAAUGAAUGAGCCACUGGCUCCCGGCGUGUCCCUAGAUAGCCUGAAAAGGUACUACCAAGACGCCUACAAGAAAGUCAGGAAGUACUCGCCCAAGACCUAUGUGAUCAUGUCCAACCGGCUGUCGGCACCUUCGACCGAGCUCCUCGAUUUUGCUGAAAAGUUUCCCAGAUCCGUCAUUGACGUGCACUACUACACGUUGUUCGACAACAAGUUCAAUAGUUUCACUGUGCAGCAGAACAUUGACUACGUGAGGAACACCAUCGCCGAUGAUCUCAGGAAAAUCACAAGGCGAAAUGGUGCUCUCACCUUUGUUGGCGAAUGGGUGGCCGAGUGGAAGGUACCUAGUGCAACGAAGGAAGACUACCAGAGAUUUGCGAAUGCACAAAUGGAGGUGUACCGGCAAGCCACAUUUGGAUGGGCUUAUUGGACCUACAAGAACGUUAACAACCACUGGAGUAUGGAGUGGAUGAUCAAGAAUAGAUACAUCUCCUUAACAAAUGCUUGA
rnacentral:rRNA from 1 species